rnacentral:rRNA from 1 species
AAUAGAUACCCUGGUAGUCCACGCCGUAAACGAUGAGUGCUAAGUGUUAGGGGGUUUCCGCCCCUUAGUGCUGCAGCUAACGCAUUAAGCACUCCGCCUGGGGAGUACGGUCGCAAGACUGAAACUCAAAGGAAUUGACGGGGGCCCGCACAAGCGGUGGAGCAUGUGGUUUAAUUCGAAGCAACGCGAAGAAUCUUACCAGGUCUUGACAUCCCGUUGACCACUGUAGAGAUAUAGUUUCCCCUUCGGGGGCAACGGUGACAGGUGGUGCAUGGUUGUCGUCAGCUCGUGUCGUGAGAUGUUGGGUUAAGUCCCGCAACGAGCGCAACCCUUGAUCUUAGUUGCCAUCAUUUAGUUGGGCACCCUAAGGUGACUGCCGGUGACAAACCGGAGGAAGGUGGGGAUGACGUCAAAUCAUCAUGCCCCUUAUGACCUGGGCUACACACGUGCUACAAUGGACGAUACAAACGGUUGCCAACUCGCGAGAGGGAGCUAAUCCGAUAAAGUCGUUCUCAGUUCGGAUUGUAGG